rnacentral:rRNA from 1 species
UACGGAGGAUGCAAGCGUUAUCCGGAAUGAUUGGGCGUAAAGCGUCCGCAGGUGGCUAUGUAAGUCUGCUGUUAAAGAGUGGGGCUCAACCUCAUAAGAGCAGUGGAAACUACAUGGCUAGAGUGCGUUCGGGGCAGAGGGAAUUCCUGGUGUAGCGGUGAAAUGCGUAGAUAUCAGGAAGAACACCGGUGGCGAAAGCGCUCUGCUAGGCCGCAACUGACACUGAGGGACGAAAGCUAGGGGAGCGAAUGGG